GCCCUUGUGGUACAAACGGUUAAGUGUUUGGCUGCUACCCAAAAGGUUGGGAGUUCAAACCCACCCAGCGGCU
rnacentral:tRNA from 1 species